rnacentral:rRNA from 1 species
AACGAACGCUGGCGGCAGGCCUAAAACAUGCAAGUCGAACGAACCUUCGGGUUAGUGGCGCACGGGUGCGUAACGCGUGGGAAUAUGCCUCUUGGUGCGGAACAACGUCUGGAAACGGACGCUAAUACCGCAUAAUAUCUACGGAUCAAAGAUUUAUCGCCAAGAGAUUAGCCCGCGUCUGAUUAGCUAGUUGGUGAGGU